rnacentral:rRNA from 1 species
AACGAACGCUGGCGGCAGGCUUAACACAUGCAAGUCGAACGGGUGUAGCAAUACAUCAGUGGCAGACGGGUGAGUAACACGUGGGAACCUUCCUAGGGGUACGGAACAACUCAGGGAAACUUGAGCUAAUACCGUAUACGUCCGUGAGGAGAAAGAUUUAUCGCCCUUAGACGGGCCCGCGUCGGAUUAGCUAGUUGGUGGGGUAACGGCCUACCAAGGCGACGAUCCGUAGCUGAUCUUAGAGGAUGAUCAGCCACACUGGGACUGAGACACGGCCCAGACUCCUACGGGAGGCAGCAGUGGGGAAUCUUGGACAAUGGGCGCAGGCCUGAUCCAGCCAUGCCGCGUGAGUGAAGAAGGUCUUCGGAUUGUAAAGCUCUUUUGCCAGGGACGAUAAUGACGGCACCUGGAGAAUAAGCCCCGGCAAACUUCGUGCCAGCAGCCGCCGUAA